GUCCGCGUAGCUUACAACUAAAGCAUAGCACUGAAGAUGCUAAGACGAUGCCACUGCACCCGUGGACA
rnacentral:tRNA from 1 species